GAUCGUAUACCGAUCGUCCCAUCGACGCGAACGUACAUACUGAUCGAAGCAAAAACUCUUAUUAGAGUACUCAUCGUCGUCUGCAAUCACCAGUUGUUCUCUGCUAGCAGCCUGCCUACGUAGCUCUCAAAGGCUAUACGACAGCGCAGAACUUGAUCGGAUAAGUAUGGCAGCAGCGACGACGGCAAUGGCGAGGGCGGUGCUGGUGGCCGUCGUGCUGAUGCAGUGCUGCAACGUGAUGGUCGCUGCGAGGCCGUUGCUGAUGGAGGCGCCGGCGGCGGUAGCGACAGCAGACGACGGCGGCUGGCUGGGGAUGAUCAUGCAGAUGCUUCCGGGCGGCAACGACCACAACUGCCAAGCUCCCAACGGAUCGUGCCCCUGAUCGAUAAACUAGCUAGCUAGCUGGCCGGCCGGCAAGCUCCUGAUCGACUCCAUCAGUUGAUCAUCAACUGCAUGCAUGCAUGCUCCGAUCCAUUGAUUCUGUUUUUUUUUUAUGUGUAUAUAUAUUGGUUAUAUAGGCGUCAAUAGACCUGUGCAUAUAGUGUCUCUUAGGUUUGUAGUAGCAAGCAAGGUAGCUAGCAAGCUAGUUGUUCGAGAUUAUUUUGUAUUAAGAGGUUAAUUAACUCCGUGCAAAAUCGCACAGAGUGGUCACUGCCUCUCUCACACAUUAUUAUUCUUUAAUUCUUUUAUAUAUGUAGUUUUGAGUAUUCCAGA
rnacentral:lncRNA from 1 species